AGCGAACGCUGGCGGCAGGCCUAACACAUGCAAGUCGAACGAACUCUUCGGAGUUAGUGGCGGACGGGUGAGUAACACGUGGGAACGUGCCUUUUGGUUCGGAAUAACUCAGGGAAACUUGUGCUAAUACCGAAUGUGCUCUUCGGGGGAAAGAUUUAUCGCCAUUAGAGCGGCCCGCGUCUGAUUAGCUAGUUGGUGAGGUAACGGCUCACCAAGGCGACGAUCAGUAGCUGGUCUGAGAGGAUGACCAGCCACACUGGGACUGAGACACGGCCCAGACUCCGACGGGAGGCAGCAGUAGGGAAUCUUGCGCAAUGGGCGAAAGCCUGACGCAGCCAUGCCGCGUGAAUGAUGAAGGUCUUAGGAUUGUAAAAUUCUUUCACCGGGGACGAUAAUGACGGUACCCGGAGAAGAAGCCCCGGCUAACUUCGUG
rnacentral:rRNA from 1 species